AGCAGCCGCGGUAAUUCCAGCUCCAAUAGCGUAUAUUAAAGUUGUUGCAGUUAAAAAGCUCGUAGUUGAAUUUCGGGAUCAAUUUGCUGGUCGUGCCUUCGGUACGCACUGGUAUUAUUGGUUUCUCCUUUCUGAUGAAUCGCGAUGUCAUUAAUUUGGUGUCGUGGGGAAUCAGGACCGUUACUUUGAAAAAAUUAGAGUGUUUAAAGCAGGCUCACGCUUGAAUACAUUAGCAUGGAAUAAUGAAAUAGGACGUUUGAUUCUAUUUUGUUGGUUUCUAGGAUCGACGUAAUGAUUAAUAGGGAUAGUUGGGGGCAUUAGUAUUCAAUUGUCAGAGGUGAAAUUCUUGGAUUUAUUGAAGACUAACUACUGCGAAAGCAUUUGCCAAGGAUGUUUUCAUUAAUCAAGACGAAAGUUAGGGGAUCGAAGACGAUCAGAUACCGUCGUAGUCUUAACCAUAAACUAUGCCGACUAGGGAUCGGAUGAUGUUAAUUUUUUAAU
rnacentral:rRNA from 1 species